GGGUUGUGAGGUUAAGCGACUAAGCGUACACGGUGGAUGCCCUGGCAGUCAGAGGCGAUGAAGGACGUGCUAAUCUGCGAUAAGCGUCGGUAAGGUGAUAUGAACCGUUAUAACCGGCGAUUUCCGAAUGGGGAAACCCAGUGUGAUUCGUCACACUAUCAUUAACUGAAUCCAUAGGUUAAUGAGGCGAACCGGGGGAACUGAAACAUCUAAGUACCCCGAGGAAAAGAAAUCAACCGAGAUUCCCCCAGUAGCGGCGAGCGAACGGGGAGGAGCCCAGAGCCUGAAUCAGUGUGUGUGUUAGUGGAAGCGUCUGGAAAGGCGCGCGAUACAGGGUGACAGCCCCGUACACAAAAAUGCACAUGCUGUGAGCU
rnacentral:rRNA from 1 species